CGGAGUGUAGUUCAGAUGGCUAGAACGUACGCUUUGGGAGCGUAAGGUCCCGGGUUCAAGUCCCGGCACUCCGA
rfam:Candidatus Roizmanbacteria bacterium RIFCSPHIGHO2_12_FTLL_41_11 rifcsphigho2_12_scaffold_5108, whole genome shotgun sequence.